rnacentral:rRNA from 1 species
UACGUAGGGGGCGAGCGUUAUCCGGAUUCACUGGGUGUAAAGGGAGCGUAGACGGCCAAGCAAGCCAGGGGUGAAAGCCCGGGGCCCAACCCCGGGACUGCCCUUGGAACUGCAUGGCUGGAGUGCGGGAGGGGCAGGCGGAAUUCCUGGUGUAGCGGUGAAAUGCGUAGAUAUCAGGAGGAACACCAGUGGCGAAGGCGGCCUGCUGGACAGAAACUGACGUUGAGGCUCGAAAGCGUGGGGAGCAAACAGG